rnacentral:lncRNA from 1 species
AGAACUUGCCUUGAUUCUUGGUCGAACCCUGUGUACAUAGUCUAGGUGUGUUGAAUGAUUUAGGCAAAUUCUUUCUUUAGCCCACUGAGCCAAACUGACCAACCCUACAUCUAUCACUUGCAACCCCUUUUGAGCUUAAUAAUUCUUUUGAAUUCACUUAUAAAUUUGCCUAGAUUUGAGCCGUCUCGGUCAAAAACUGAACUUAAGGGCAAAAGAAAGGGAGAUAGUGUAGUGGAUCCGAUGGGCAGGACUAUUGCAAAGAAAUUGCAAAAGGGGACAUCUAAAUCCCAAAACAGAAAAAGUCCAGAAAAAGAAAAAAGAAAAAGGGAAGGAAAAAAAAAGAAGAGGAAGAGUAAAAGGAAAAAUGUGCUUAAGCCCGCAAGAAUAAGCAAGGAUCAAAAGAAUCUGGGAAAUCUAUUGCUCAGAAUGAAGUUCAGUAUAACCUUAGCCUCGUACCAAAAACUUCUCACCUUAUGCCUUAAGCUACAUUACAACCCAUGAAAGACCUAAUGAGAUGCACCUAGGACUUUGACUAAAGGGGAAGACAUUAGAAGAUAGGCAAGCUUAUGGUCAGAACCCAAU